rnacentral:rRNA from 1 species
UGGGGAAUAUUGGACAAUGGGCGCAAGCCUGAUCCAGCCAUGCCGCGUGAGUGAUGAAGGCCCUAGGGUUGUAAAGCUCUUUUAACGGGGAAGAUAAUGACGGUACCCGUAGAAUAAGCCCCGGCUAACUUCGUGCCAGCAGCCGCGGUAAUACGAAGGGGGCUAGCGUUGCUCGGAAUCACUGGGCGUAAAGGGUGCGUAGGUGGAUCUUUAAGUCAGGGGUGAAAUCCUGGAGCUCAACUCCAGAACUGCCUUUGAUACUGAGGAUCUUGAGUUCGGGAGAGGUAAGUGGAACUGCGAGUGUAGAGGUGAAAUUCGUAGAUAUUCGCAAGAACACCAGUGGCGAAGGCGGCUUUACUUGGCCCGAUACUGACACUGAGGCACG